UCCAAACACACUUUUUGUAGAAUCUGCAAGUGGAAAUUUGGACUUCUCUGAGGAUUUCGUUGGAAACUGUAUAAACUUCCCAGAAGUAAUCGGAAGCAUUCUCCGAAACUUGUUUGUGAUGUUUGCAUUCAACUCACAGGGUUGAACCUUCCUUUCAUAGUUCAGCUUUCAAACACUCUUCCUGUAGAAUCUGCAUGUGGAUAUUUGCACCACUCUGUGGCCUUCCUUCGAAGCGGGUAUAUCUUCACAUCAAACCUAGACAGAAGCAUUCUCAGAAUGUUUCCUGUGAGGACUGCAUUCAACUCACAGAGUUGAACAAUCCUGUUGACGGAGCAGUUUUGAAACUCACUUUCUUUGGAAUGUGCAAGUGGAUAUGUGGAACUCUUUGAAGAUUUCAUUGGAAACGGGUUAAUCUUCACAUAAAAACUAAACAGAAGCAUUCUCAGAAACUACUUUGUGAUGUUUGUGUUCAACUUCCAGAGUUGAACUUUCCUCUGGAAAGAGCAGCUAUGAAACACUCUUUUUCUAGAAUGUGCAAGUGGACAUUUGGAGGGCUUUGAGGCCUGCGGUGGAAAAGGAAAUAUCUUCACAUGAAUACUAGAUAGAAGCAUUCUCAGAAACUACUUUGUGAUGAUUGCAUUCGACUCACAGAGUUGGACAUUCCUAUGGAUAGAACAGUUUGUCAACACUCUUUUUGUAGAAUCUGCCGUUGGAUAUUUGGACGGCUUUGAGACCUACGGUAGUAAAGGAAAUAACUUCAUAUAAAAACCAAACGGAAGCAUUCACAGAAAAUUCUUUGUGAUGAUUGUAUUUAUCUCAGAGAGCUGAACAUUCCUGUAGAUGGAGCAAUUUCCAAAGACACUUUUUGUAGAUUCUGCAAGUGGAUAUUUGGACCUCUCUGAGAAUUUCGUUGGAAACGGGAGAAACUUCCCAGAACUACACGGAA
rnacentral:lncRNA from 1 species